rnacentral:rRNA from 1 species
GACGAACGCUGGCGGCGUGCCUAACACAUGCAAGUCAACUUGACUGAAGGAGCAAUCUGACAGUAGAGUGGCGCAAGGGUGCGUAACGCGUAAGUAACUUGCCCAAGGUAAGGAAUAACGCCGAGAAAUCGGCGCUAAUACCUCAUAAUGCAGCGGAUCCGCAUGGAUAUGUUGUUAAAGGUUUACCGCCUUGGGAUAGGCUUGCGUCUGAUUAGCUAGUUGGUGUGGUAACGGCACACCAAGGCUACGAUCAGUAACUGGUCUGAGAGGAUGAUCAGUCACACUGGAACUGAGACACGGUCCAGACUCCUACGGGAGGCAGCAGUGAGGAAUAUUGGGCAAUGCUCGAAAGAGUGACCCAGCAACGCCGCGUGGAGGAUGAAGGUAUUCUAUAUCGUAAACUCCUGUGAGAGCAGACGAAAGACAGAUUAUUAAUCUGGAUGACUGUAUGCUCAGAGGAAGCCCCGGCUAACUA